GAAAUUCCUUGUCAGGUAAGUUCUGACCCGCACGAAAGGCGUAACGAUUUGGGCGCUGUCUCAGCUGUAGACUCGGUGAAGUCUUAGUACCUGUGAAGAUGCAGGUUACCCGCGACUAGACGGAAAGACCCCAUGGAGCUUCACUGCAGGUUGAUAUUGGGAUUUGAUGCAGCAUGUACAGGAUAGGUAGGAGGCAAAGAGAUGGAUACGCCAGUAUUCAAGGAGCCGCUGUUGGGAUACUACCCCUGUUGUAUUGGAUUUCUAACCGGACGACGUAGAGCCGUUGACGGGACAGUGUCAGUCGGGCAGUUUGACUGGGGCGGUCGCCUCCCAAAGAGUAACGGAGGCGCCCAAAGAUACCCUCAGCUUGGAUGGAAACCAAGCGCAGAGUGCAAAGGCAAAAGGGUGUUUGACUGCGAGACCCACAAGUCGAGCAGGGACGAAAGUCGGGCUUAGUGAUCCGGCGGUGCUGAAUGGAAAGGCCGUCGCUCAACGGAUAAAAGCUACCCUGGGGAUAACAGGCUGAUCUCCCCCAAGAGUCCACAUCGACGGGGAGGUUUGGCACCUCGAUGUCGGCUCAUCGCAUCCUGGGGCUGUAGUAGGUCCCAAGGGUUGGGCUGUUCGCCCAUUAAAGCGGUACGCGAGCUGGGUUCAGAACGUCGUGAGACAGUUCGGUCCCUAUCUGUCGUGGGCGCAGGAAAUUUGAGAAGAGCUGUCCUCAGUACGAGAGGACCGGGAUGGACGCAUCAAUGGUGGACCAGUUGUCACGCCAGUGGCAUAGCUGGGUAGCUAAAUGCGGAAGGGAUAAACGCUGAAGGCAUCUAAGUGUGAAACCCACUUCAAGAUGAGAUUUCCCAUUGCGCAAGCAAGUAAGACCCCUUAAAGACGAUAAGGUAGAUAGGUCAGGAGUGUAAGCAUGGUGACAUGUUAAGCGGACUGAUACUAAUAGGUCGAGGGCUUGACCGA
rnacentral:rRNA from 1 species